AGCGAACGCUGGCGGCAGGCCUAACACAUGCAAGUCGAACGAACCUUUCGGGGUUAGUGGCGGACGGGUGAGUAACACGUGGGAACGUGCCUUUAGGUUCGGAAUAACUCAGGGACACUUGUGCUAAUACCGAAUGUGCCCUUCGGGGGAAAGAUUUAUCGCCUUUAGAGCGGCCCGCGUCUGAUUAGCUAGUUGGUUGAGGUAAUGGCUCACCAAGGCGACGAUCAGUAGCUGGUCUGAGAGGAUGAUCAGCCACAUUGGGACUGAGACACGGCCCAAACUCCUACGGGAGGCAGCAGUGGGGAAUCUUGCGCAAUGGGCGAAAGCCUGACGCAGCCAUGCCGCGUGAAUGAUGAAGGUCUGAGGAUUGUAAAAUUCUUUCACCGGGGACGAUAAUGACGGUACCCGGAGAAGAAGCCCCGGCUAACUUCGUG
rnacentral:rRNA from 1 species